ACUCCUAUGGAGGGCAGCAGUGGGAGUAUUGAUGCAAUGGGGGCAACCCUGAUCCAGCCAUGCCGCGUGAGUGAAGAAGGCCCUAGGGUCGUAAAGCUCUUUCAACUGUGAAGAUAAUGACGGUAGCAGUAGAAGAAACCCCGGCUAACUCCGUGCCAGCAGCCGCGGUAAUACGGAGGGGUUAGCGUUGUUCGGAAUUACUGGGCGUAAAGCGCACGUAGGCGGACUAUUAAGUUAGAGGUGAAAUCCCAGGGCUCAACCCUGGAACUGCCUUUAAUACUGGUAGUCUUGAGUUCGAGAGAGGUGAGUGGAAUUCCGAGUGUAGAGGUGAAAUUCGUAGAUAUUCGGAGGAACACCAGUGGCGAAGGCGGCUCACUGGCUCGAUACUGACGCUGAGGUGCGAAAGUGUGGGGAGCAAACAGGAUUAGAUACCCUGGUAGCUACGAG
rnacentral:rRNA from 1 species